UCCGCGUACGUCACUGCCCAGGACUCUGCCGGUGCACAGGCAAGCUGUCAGAGGCUGGGGUACACUCCCGGGAUAGAUAGCCCCCUUCCCUUUUGAAUCUAGCUGUAUUUGUGGAGGAGCCCAAGGCAAUUGCUGACCCACACCGCAUGUCCAGAGGGACAGAGAGGGGUGAGGAUGCAGCGGGAGGAGGAGCAGCUGGGACGGGGGAGAUGGCAGGUGGGGGCUGACGAGAAGGUACAAGCCCGGCAGAGAUGGAGGGAGCACUGUGGACUUUAUUCUCUGCCUGCAGGAACAUCAACAUUGAAAUCUCUGCUCGGAUCUGGAUUUGUUGACACAAAAUCCACUGCCUGAACGCGGGGGGUUGGAAGCAGUUUACCUGUUACGUUCCCAGCGCUAUCUCCGGAACAUAACUCCACAGGCUGGAGCAGUUGUAGUAUAUCUGCUGGUCUCUUAUCUAAUGUGUAACCUCCUGGACUGAAGACAUAAUGUACUGUCUAUCCUUUCUGUGAUAAAAAUAAAGCAUAUAAAAACACA